rnacentral:rRNA from 1 species
UAACCUGCCCAAGAGAUCGGGAUAACACCUGGAAACAGAUGCUAAUACCGGAUAACAACAGAUGAUGCCUAUCAACUGUUUAAAAGAUGGUUCUGCUAUCACUCUUGGAUGGACCUGCGGUGCAUUAGCUAGUUGGUAGGGUAACGGCCUACCAAGGCGAUGAUGCAUAGCCGAGUUGAGAGACUGAUCGGCCACAUUGGGACUGAGACACGGCCCAAACUCCUACGGGAGGGCAGCAGUG